CUUGAAACCGACAUUUCCAAGCAAGUGCCCGUGGACGCUUCCAAGAUGGUGAUCUGGUUAUUUCCAGGUAAAUGUCUCCAACACUUCAAACUCAGUAAGUCCAGUUCCAAGCUCAUUAUUCCUCCCUUCCAUCCUGCUACUCUGCCUCCCAGACUACGUUGGUCAGCAUCACCCUAUAGAUCUUGUCACCCACAUGCCACACCUUGGGUCGUCUUUGACCAAGGUGUCUGCGUGUCCAGAUUUGCCCAGGAUUGUUCAGUGUGUGUCUACUGUCUUGGUAAAAUGACCGAUAGUACUCUUUUCAUCCUCAAAACCAUUCUGGAUUGGACAAUAAAUUAUAUGGUCACGCUAUUCCUCCUCAUCUCUGAUUCCUGUUCAACCCAUCAGUAAGUCCCACCAACAUCGUUAGCCUUCGGUGGUGACAGGCUCUUAAACUAGCCUCCCUGCUCUGUAUUUCUCCUCUGUUCAACUCAUCCUUAGACCUCACCACCAGUCUUGUCUAUUUAGGCCACGACUUUUAUCUUAUUACUCUCCUGCUUCCCAUUGCCUACAACACGGAGUCCACUCUAGACCCGUCUUAUGCCAUAGCUGUCCAGAGAACAUACACCCAUCCGACAGGUCAGGAAUCUGUAUCGUGUUAUCUGGAGAAGGGCUAGUAAUCAGGCACUGGAAAAAUUGUUCCAUGCCCCCUAGAUCUGCAUGAGAUGGCCUGGCAAGAGGAAGACAAAUUAAUAAUUGAUGAAGAGAAAAGAUUUCAUGUGGUCUGAAUGAAUCCUGGAAAGUGGCUUGGUGUCUCUCUGAAUUCAGAUCUGGGGGUGUCCAUAGAGAGAGGUCUCCUUGGGCAACAACCCCCCCAGCUCACGUUUUCUCCCCACCGCUCACCUGCUUUUUCCCCUGGUUUCACAAAAUUCCAGCCAGUUUUCCUCCAUUUCUUGUUCCAGGGCUGGAGUCCUCAGGGACCUCUUUUCAUGUUUGGCCAUUUCGGGUUGGCUCUCAUCCAGCUGCUGCCUGCCUGCUGCACUCCAGGCCAACUGGGAGCAGCAUUCUACAGGAUCAAGGAUCACAGGAACACCCAAUCCUUGGCAAGAAGCAAGAAAUUACCUCCUCGUGAAGGCAGAGAGGGGACCUGA
rnacentral:lncRNA from 1 species